rnacentral:rRNA from 1 species
UACGAAGGGUGCAAGCGUUACUCGGAAUUACUGGGCGUAAAGCGUGCGUAGGUGGUUCGUUAAGUCUGAUGUGAAAGCCCUGGGCUCAACCUGGGAAUGGCAUUGGAAACUGGCGACCUAGAGUGCGGUAGAGGGUAGUGGAAUUCCCGGUGUAGCAGUGAAAUGCGUAGAGAUCGGGAGGAACAUCCGUGGCGAAGGCGGUUCUCUGGGCAUUACCUGACGCUGAGGAGCGAAAGUGUGGGGAGCGAACAGG